rnacentral:rRNA from 1 species
AGGGUUUGAUUCUGGCUCAGGACGAACGCUGGCGGCGUGCCUAACACAUGCAAGUCGAACGGAGAUAAGCGCUGAUGAUUUAGCUUGCUAGAGAUUCUUGCUUAUCUUAGUGGCGGACGGGUGAGUAACGCGUGAGCAACCUGCCUUUCAGAGGGGGAUAACGUCUUGAAAAGGACGCUAAUACCGCAUGAUAUUAUGGAGCCACAUGGCUCUAUAAUCAAAGGAGCAAUCCGCUGAAAGAUGGGCUCGCGUCCGAUUAGGUAGUUGGCGGGAUAACAGCCCACCAAGCCGACGAUCGGUAGCCGGACUGAGAGGUUGAACGGCCACAUUGGGACUGAGACACGGCCCAG